UACGUAGGCAGCAAGCGUUGUUCGGAAUUACUGGGCGUAAAGAGUGUGUAGGCGGUGCUCUAAGUUCGGUGUGAAAUCUCCCGGCUUAACUGGGAGGGUGCGCCGGAAACUGGAGUGCUCGAGCGUGGGAGAGGAAAGCGGAAUUCCUGGUGUAGCGGUGAAAUGCGUAGAUAUCAGGAGGAACACCUGCGGUGGAGACGGCUUUCUGGACCAUUGCUGACGCUGAGACACGAAAGCGUGGGUAGCAAACAGG
rnacentral:rRNA from 1 species